rfam:Streptococcus sp. DF1 DF1_Contig12, whole genome shotgun sequence.
AAUUAAUUUGUUUCAAUCUUUCCUGUUAUGAUUAAAGCAAAUUAAACCGUAACUAGGAUGCUUGCUGAGAUUCACUCCGAGCAUCCUAGUUUUUUU